rnacentral:rRNA from 1 species
UACGGAGGGAGCUAGCGUUGUUCGGAAUUACUGGGCGUAAAGCGCACGUAGGCGGAUAUUUAAGUCAGGGGUGAAAUCCCAGAGCUCAACUCUGGAACUGCCUUUGAUACUGGGUAUCUUGAGUAUGGAAGAGGUAAGUGGAAUUGCGAGUGUAGAGGUGAAAUUCGUAGAUAUUCGCAGGAACACCAGUGGCGAAGGCGGCUUACUGGUCCAUAACUGACGCUGAGGUGGCGAAAAGCGUGGGGAGCAAACAGGGAUUAGAAAACCC